rnacentral:rRNA from 1 species
AGAGAGAGACAUGCGCGCAUAUCAAUAAGCGGAGGAAAAGAAACUAACAAGGAUUCCCUUAGUAGCGGCGAGUGAAGCGGGAAGAGCUCAAAUUUGAAAUCUUCAAGGUUUUACCUUGACGAAUUGUAGUUUAAAGAAGUGUUUUCUGCUGAAGUUUUGGUAAAAGUUCUUUGGAAUAGGACAUCAUAGAGGGUGAGAAUCCCGUAUUUGACCAUUAUUUCCAGCUUUGUGAUACACUUUCGAAGAGUCGGAUUGUUUGGGAAUGCAGUCCAAAAUGGGUGGUAAAUUUCAUCUAAAGCUAAAUAUUGGCGAGAGACCGAUAGCGAACAAGUACCGUGAGGGAAAGAUGAAAAGAACUUUGAAAAGAGAGUUAAACAGUACGUGAAAUUGUCCAAAAGGGAAGCGUUUGACACCAGUGUUGUUUUCUCGAAAAUCAAUUAAAAAUGGCUCGAUUUUGUAUUGUUGAGACCUUAAAAGCUCACUGUACAUUUUUCGUGUCUUUUUAAUGCACUUUUCGUUUAACAAGUCAACAUCAGUUUCUUUUGUUGUAAAAGGGUCAUUGGAAGGUGGCUUUCUUUUCGGAGAAAGUGUUUAUAGCCUUUGGCCUCUGCAAUCGGAGAGACUGAGGUCUGCAGCGUAGACUCUUCGGGGUUAGAUACAUUUGUGCUAAGUUAUAGCUUUUUAUAGACAACUUGUUGACUAUAAUUAGUCUUGUAGCUUACUCGCUUAUGCUAUUUUACCUACGCUUAGGAUGUUGAAGUCAUCGUAUCGCGC